UUAGCAGACGUAAUAGAUGUGAGCACGUG
rnacentral:piRNA from 1 species